rnacentral:rRNA from 1 species
GAUCAAGUGUCUUAAGGGCAUUUGGUGGAUGCCUUGGUAUGCACAGGCGAUGAAGGACGUGAUACGCUGCGAUAAGCGUCGGGGAGCUGCGAAUAAGCUUUGAUCCGGCGAUUUCCGAAUGGGGAAACCCACCUUAGAUACUUAGAAAUAUCAAAUAGCAGGAUGGCUGAAAUCUUCGGAUUUUGGUUAGAGUGCUGUUUGACUUUCUAAGUAUCACAUAAAAGGUAUCUUAAACUGAAUACAUAGGUUUAAGAAGCGAACGCGGGGAACUGAAACAUCUAAGUACCCGUAGGAAAGGACAUCAACCGAGACUCCGUUAGUAGCGGCG